AUGGUUAAGUUAGAAAGGGCGCACGGUGAAUGCCUUGGCACUAGGAGCCGAUGAAGGACGGGACUAACACCGAUAUGCUUCGGGGAGCUGUAAGUGAGCUUUGAUCCGGAGAUUUCCGAAUGGGGAAACCCACUGUUCGUAAUGGAACAGUAUCUUUAUCUGAAUACAUAGGAUAUUGAAGGCAGACCCGGGGAACUGAAACAUCUAAGUACCCGGAGGAAGAGAAAGCAAAUGCGAUUUCCUGAGUAGCGGCGAGCGAAACGGAAUUAGCCCAAACCAAGAGGCUUGCCUCUUGGGGUUGUAGGACACUCUAUACGGAGUUACAAAGGAACGAAGUAAAUGAAGCGACCUGGAAAGGUCCGUCGAAGAAGGUAACAACCCUGUAGUUGAAACUUCGUUCCCUCUUGAGUGGAUCCUGAGUACGGCGGAACACGUGAAAUUCCGUCGGAAGCUGGGAGGACCAUCUCCCAAGGCUAAAUACUACCUAGUGACCGAUAGUGAACCAGUACCGUGAGGGAAAGGUGAAAAGCACCCCGGAAGGGAGUGAAAGAGAUCCUGAAACCGUGUGCCUACAAGUAGUCAGAGCCCGUUAACGGGUGAUGGCGUGCCUUUUGUAGAAUGAACCGGCGAGUUACGAUCCCAUGCAAGGUUAAGCUGAUAAGGCGGAGCCGUAGCGAAAGCGAGUCUGAAUAGGGCGUUUAGUAUGUGGUUGUAGACCCGAAACCAGGUGAUCUACCCAUGUCCAGGGUGAAGUUCAGGUAACACUGAAUGGAGGCCCGAACCCACGCACGUUGAAAAGUGCGGGGAUGAGGUGUGGGUAGCGGAGAAAUUCCAAUCGAACCUGGAGAUAGCUGGUUCUCUCCGAAAUAGCUUUAGGGCUAGCCUCAUGUUGUGAGAGUCUUGGAGGUAGAGCACUGAUUGGACUAGGGGCCCCCAACGGGUUACCGAAUUCAGUCAAACUCCGAAUGCCAAAGACUUAUCCAUGGGAGUCAGACUGCGAGUGAUAAGAUCCGUAGUCAAAAGGGAAACAGCCCAGACCACCAGCUAAGGUCCCCAAGUAUACGUUAAGUGGAAAAGGAUGUGGAGUUGCUUAGACAACCAGGAUGUUGGCUUAGAAGCAGCCACCAUUUAAAGAGUGCGUAAUAGCUCACUGGUCGAGUGACUCUGCGCCGAAAAUGUACCGGGGCUAAACGUAUCACCGAAGCUGUGGAUUGACAUCUUUGAUGUCAGUGGUAGGAGAGCGUUCUAAGUGCUGUGAAGUCAGACCGUAAGGACUGGUGGAGCGCUUAGAAGUGAGAAUGCCGGUAUGAGUAGCGAAAGACAAGUGAGAAUCUUGUCCACCGAAUGCCUAAGGUUUCCUGAGGAAGGCUCGUCCGCUCAGGGUUAGUCGGGACCUAAGCCGAGGCUGAAAAGCGUAGGCGAUGGCCAACAGGUUGAUAUUCCUGUACCACCUCCCCGCCGUUUGAGUAAUGGGGGACGCAGUAGGAUAGGGUAAGCGCGCUGCUGGAUAUGCGCGUUCAAGCAGUUAGGCUGAUGAGUAGGCAAAUCCGCUCAUCAUAAAGGCUGAGCUGUGAUGACGAGGGAAUUAUAGUACCGAAGUUCCUGAUUCCACACUGCCAAGAAAAGCCUCUAGCGAGGCGGGAGGUGCCCGUACCGCAAACCGACACAGGUAGGCGAGGAGAGAAUCCUAAGGUGAUCGAGAGAACUCUCGUUAAGGAACUCGGCAAAAUGACCCCGUAACUUCGGGAGAAGGGGUGCUCUGGUAGGGUGUAUAGCCCGAGAGAGCCGCAGUGAAUAGGCCCAGGCGACUGUUUAGCAAAAACACAGGUCUCUGCGAAGCCGCAAGGCGAAGUAUAGGGGCUGACGCCUGCCCGGUGCUGGAAGGUUAAGAGGAGGGGUUAUCCUUUGGGAGAAGCUCUGAAUCGAAGCCCCAGUAAACGGCGGCCGUAACUAUAACGGUCCUAAGGUAGCGAAAUUCCUUGUCGGGUAAGUUCCGACCCGCACGAAAGGCGUAACGAUCUGGGCACUGUCUCAACGAGAGACUCGGUGAAAUUAUAGUACCUGUGAAGAUGCAGGUUACCCGCGACAGGACGGAAAGACCCCGUGGAGCUUUACUGUAGCCUGAUAUUGAAUUUUGGUACAGCUUGUACAGGAUAGGUAGGAGCCUGAGAAGCCGGAGCGCUAGCUUCGGUGGAGGCGUCGGUGGGAUACUACCCUGGCUGUAUUGAAAUUCUAACCCGCGGCCCUGAUCGGGCCGGGAGACAGUGUCAGGUGGGCAGUUUGACUGGGGCGGUCGCCUCCUAAAAUGUAACGGAGGCGCCCAAAGGUUCCCUCAGAAUGGUUGGAAAUCAUUCGUAGAGUGUAAAGGCACAAGGGAGCUUGACUGCGAGACCUACAAGUCGAGCAGGGACGAAAGUCGGGCUUAGUGAUCCGGUGGUUCCGCAUGGAAGGGCCAUCGCUCAACGGAUAAAAGCUACCCCGGGAUAACAGGCUUAUCUCCCCCAGAGUCCACAUCGACGGGGAGGUUUGGCACCUCGAUGUCGGCUCAUCGCAUCCUGGGGCUGUAGUCGGUCCCAAGGGUUGGGCUGUUCGCCCAUUAAAGCGGUACGCGAGCUGGGUUCAGAACGUCGUGAGACAGUUCGGUCCCUAUCCGUCGUGGGCGUAGGAAAUUUGAGAGGAGCUGUCCUUAGUACGAGAGGACCGGGAUGGACACACCGCUGGUGUACCAGUUGUCUUGCCAAAGGCAUCGCUGGGUAGCUAUGUGUGGACGGGAUAAGUGCUGAAAGCAUCUAAGCAUGAAGCCCCCCUCAAGAUGAGAUUUCCCAUAGCGCAAGCUAGUAAGAUCCCUGAAAGAUGAUCAGGUUGAUAGGUCAGAGGUGGAAGCGUGGCGACAUGUGUAGCUGACUGAUACUAAUCGAUCGAGGACUUAACCAAAC
rnacentral:rRNA from 2 species